CAAGAUUGUGGACAGGAAAUGAGUGAGCUGCCAACCACUGAGCUGCUGUCCCAGAGACCACAAGACUCCACUUCUGUCUCCAUCAUCACAGAGCCCUGCCAUCUGGAGCAGACCUCUGAGGAGACCCCAGGUCUGAAUAAAGAAGAUGAAAAGCAGUUACAAGAACUUGCUGUAGAAGAAAAGCAAACAAUCAUUCAAAAAAUCAGCAUGUUAUACAAUGAGGUGGUACCAGGGGCUUGAACCCAGGCCCUUGCACAUAGUUUCAUAUGCACUUUGCGUGGCACAUCACCACCAGGCUGCUGACAAUAUUAUUUCUUGCAGAGAUGGAAUAUUUACAAAAUUGCCAGCAAAGGCAUGUAUUCUAUAUAUACAUUGAUUUUUAUAAAUUACGUAUAUGAUAAACCGAUACUUUGAAUUUGAUUUGAAUGACUUCUAGAUGUAAUAAAAUUGCUUGUG